rnacentral:rRNA from 1 species
AUUGAACGCUGGCGGCAUGCCUAACACAUGCAAGUCGAACGGGGCAGCAAUGCCUAGUGGCGGACGGGUGAGGAAUACGUAGGAAUCUGCCCUUAAGUGGGGGAUAACCAGGGGAAACCCUGACUAAUACCGCAUGAUCUCUUCGGAGCAAAGAGGGGGACCGCAAGGCCUCUCGCUUCUGGAUGAGCCUACGUCUGAUUAGCUAGUUGGUAGGGUAAAGGCCUACCAAGGCGACGAUCAGUAACUGGUCUGAGAGGAUGAUCAGUCACACCGGAACUGAGACACGGUCCGGACUCCUACGGGAGGCAGCAGUGGGGAAUAUUGGACAAUGGGCGCAAGCCUGAUCCAGCAAUGACGCGUGUGUGAAGAAGGCCUUCGGGUUGUAAAGCACUUUAAGUCGGGAGGAAGGGCUGUAGGUUAAUACCUUGCAGCCUUGACGUUACCGACAGAAUAAGCACCGGCUAACUUCGUGCCAGCCGCCGCAGUAAAAC